UACGUAGGGUGCGAGCGUUGUCCGGAAUUAUUGGGCGUAAAGGGCUCGUAGGCGGUCUGUUGCGUCGGGAGUGAAAACUCAGGGCUUAACCCUGAGCCUGCUUCCGAUACGGGCAGACUAGAGGUAUGCAGGGGAGAACGGAAUUCCUGGUGUAGCGGUGAAAUGCGCAGAUAUCAGGAGGAACACCGGUGGCGAAGGCGGGUCUCUGGGCCGAUACUGACGCUGAGGAGCGAAAGCGUGGGGAGCGAACAGG
rnacentral:rRNA from 1 species